GAUGAACGCUGGCGGCGUGCCUAAUACAUGCAAGUCGAGCGAACAGAUGAGGAGCUUGCUCCUCUGACGUUAGCGGCGGACGGGUGAGUAACACGUGGAUAACCUACCUAUAAGACUGGGAUAACUUCGGGAAACCGGAGCUAAUACCGGAUAAUAUAUUGAACCGCAUGGUUCAAUAGUGAAAGACGGUUUUGCUGUCACUUAUAGAUGGAUCCGCGCCGCAUUAGCUAGUUGGUAAGGUAACGGCUUACCAAGGCAACGAUGCGUAGCCGACCUGAGAGGGUGAUCGGCCACACUGGAACUUAGACACGGUCCAGACUCCUACGGGAGGCAGCAGUAGGGAAUCUUCCGCAAUGGGCGAAAGCCUGACGGAGCAACGCCGCGUGAGUGAUGAAGGUCUUCGGAUCGUAAAACUCUGUUAUUAGGGAAGAACAAAUGUGUAAGUAACUAUGCACGUCUUGACGGUACCUAAUCAGAAAGCCACGGCUAACUACGUG
rnacentral:rRNA from 1 species